GAUUAACGCUGGCGGCGUGCCUAACACAUGCAAGUCGAACGAGGUAGCAAUACCUAGUGGCAGACGGGUGAGUAACGCGUGGUCAACCUACCGUUGAGUGGGGGAUAACUAGCCGAAAGGUUAGCUAAUACCGCAUACGUCUCCGAGGGGCAUCCCUUGGCGAUAAAAGGAGCAAUCCGCUCGAUGACGGGACCGCGUCCCAUUAGCUAGAUGGUGGGGUAACGCCUACCAUGGCACCGAGGGUAGCUGGUUUGAGAGAGCGACCAGCCACACUGGGACUGAGAAACGGCCCAGACUCCUACGGGAGGCAGCAGUGAGGAAUUUUCCGCAAUGGGCGCAAGCCUGACGGAGCGACGCCGCGUGU
rnacentral:rRNA from 1 species